AUGACCCCCACAACUGUCACGGGACUCAUCUGAAGAAGCUGACGAUUAGAUUGUCCGAAUGGGUAACCUACUUUGUAGGUACACAAUAAUUACAAAUAGAGCUGAGACAGCAGUAAUAAGGGGGCUACAACAAUGAAGAAAGUCAUGAGCAUGACGGUUUUGAGGCAGUCCGUCCAUUCCCUGGGAUCAAAGGUCAACCAGGACAAGUAAGAGAUCUACAUUGACCAGACUUCUCCACCUCUGGUGGGAAAUGCAAAGAUGCCCUUGAGAACAGCAGGAAGUGUGAUUGUGGUUUUCAUCUUGUCAGUGUCAGGUAUGACCACUGUCAUAGUUUUAUAAAAGUGUUCUUAUUGUUAUUCACUCUUGUGAAAUAUCUAAAAUGCUAUAAAACAAUUCAGAAUAAGAUGUCUCUGAAUGUUGUCAUGUAUAUAGUAGGGCUGUAGCGGUCAUGAAAUUUUGUCAGCCAGUAAUUGUCAUGCCAAUUGACCUUUAACUAACAUAAACAUUUUUACCAUCUCCGGGCUUCCACACAUACAAGCUGCUGAUGCGCG